rnacentral:sRNA from 1 species
GGCCAACUCCAAGCAUCAGCUGAGAAAUCGUUGGUGUAACCAAGCAUGGUGGUGCACACUACAUAGCAGGAUCCAGACUCUAGAUGAUCCACUGAUCCCAGGCAUGGAAUAAACACUGGAGAUAAAAAUGGCUAAGCAGGCCCUGCCCUUCAGGUGCAAGGAAUAGAAGAUGUGCCAGUUAAUAAACAUGCAUUUAUUAAAUUCACUGUACUAUACCAACAGUGAUGUAGCGGUGGAUGGAUGCAAAGUAGGGAGGGGCUGUUUCUUAAAAGGGGAGUCUGUGGAUCUAUACACGCCAAGAAGGUCUGAGAACUUGGAAAGAUGGGCAGCAUUUGGACACGUGAAGGCCAACCUUGGGUUGGCCCAGUGGAACACACCUGUCACCCUAGCCCUGAAGAUGCUAAGGCU